UAGAUACCCUGGUAGUCCCAGCUGUAAACGAUGAUUACUGGGUGUGGGCAUGAAGAGUGUCCGUGCCGAAGCAAAUGCGAUAAGUAAUCCGCCUGGGGAGUACGGCCGCAAGGCUGAAACUCAAAGGAAUUGACGGGGACCCGCACAAGCGGUGGAGCAUGUGGUUUAAUUCGACGCAACGCGAGGAACCUUACCAGAUCUUGACAUCCUGCGUAUGCCCGUGAGAGCGGGCAGUGCCUUCGGGAACGCA
rnacentral:rRNA from 1 species